rnacentral:rRNA from 1 species
CCCCUAGAUGUUCUGGGCCGCACGCGCGCUACACUGAACAGUUCAACAAGUCUUAACCUUGGCCGAUAGGUCUGGGUAAUCUUUGAACGCUGUUCGUGAUUGGGAUAGACCUUUGCAAUUAUGGGUCUUCAACGAGGAAUUCCUAGUAAGCGCAAGUCAUCAGCUUGCGUUGAUUACGUCCCUGCCCUUUGUACACACCGCCCGUCGCUUGUACCGAUUGGAUGGUCCGGUGAAAUCUUCGGAUAGCUGGUAGUUGGCUUGCCAUCUACUGCUAAAAGUUGCUUAAACCUUAUCAUCUAGAGGAACAAGAAGUCGUAACA